GUUUGUUGCACGAGGAGCAAUUAACAAAUAGCAUUCACACAAUCAGUUGGUGUGGAAUCCACUUCAAUGAUUAUAUAAUGGAUAUUUUAUUUAAUAGCAUCGGUACCCAAUUUGUAUACAUAUCAUCGGUACCCAAUUUCUUGCUCACUGUAGAACUGAUGAGUGUUUUUUUGAGGUAUAUAAAUAUGUACUCUAUUCUCUGUUAGUUGCAAUAUUGAUCUUUUGCCAAUACUUAACAUGUGAAAUUCAACGGUGCAAUACUUAAGCCUCGUUUGGGAACAGGCUAUUUUAGUAACUUUUUGGCUUUUUACGAAAAGAUGUACAGAAAAGUAGAGAGGUGAUGUGACUAGUUUUAGUUGGCUUUUUGACUAAAAUAGUCAGUCCCCAAACGAGGCCUUAAUUGUUGUGGUGCUAUCAGAUUGCUAGAGAAAGCUUGAGAAUUUAUAAGCGUGAGAUUCAAGAAAAUGUUUUGGAAAUUGUUGGCAUUUCCCCUGAGCAGGCUGAAGCAAAAUUUGGCUAUCUUUUGGAGGCUUUAGACAUGGGUGCUCCUCCACAUGAAAAUGCUGAAGGAUGGGAAGUUGUUUGAGUCUCAAGUGGAAUAAAAUAGAUAUCAUUCUAGAAUGGGUGCUUUCAAAAUAAAAUUUCCAUAAUGAAGUUUACAAGCUACUCCUCAGAUCCUUCACAAAUCCGAUUAAUGGUAUGGUUUGGUUUUGUGAGUUUAAAUCCUUAAAAGCCAUUGAAGCCUCAAUGAAACUUAUGUCUAUCAGACCCUUUCAGAUCCAAUAUCCUUUCAGAUCAAAGGAAAAGCUCCAUUCAUCCUCCACGUAGAAGAGGAAAAGAAUAGCGUACUGCUUUUAAUCCUCAUAGAAGAACCAUCCUAAAAUUCCUAAUGUGAGUUUUCCUUUUAAAUUUUUUCUCCUUUUCAUUAUACAAUAUAUGCGCCUUUUAGGCCAUCGACUACUCUUUCUAUCUCUCCCUGUCUCUAUUUUCUUUUAUUUUAAUUCCCUAGCUCUAAACUUCAGUUACAACAGAAAAUAAUUGUGAAAGGCCAGUUAGAACUAUUGGGGUGCAUUUGAUAUUGAAGAUAAAGCCUCUGAAAUUUGAUGUGAGCCCAAAUCAAGUGACAAGAAACAAUAUCAGAAGUGAAAAGAAAGAAGGUCAAUAAUUUCAAAUACUUUUAUUUGGCUAUAUUUUAGAGCAAUAAUUUCAAUUUUAUAGUUGUUUUUAAUUGAUGACUUUUACAUCA